rnacentral:misc_RNA from 1 species
GAUGAAGAACGUAGCGAAAUGCGAUAAGUAAUGUGAAUUGCAAAUUCAGUGAAUCAUCGAGUCUUUGAACGCACAUUGCGCCCCCUGGUAUUCCGGGGGGCAUGCCUGUCCGAGCGUCAUUGCUGCCCUCAAGCACGGCUUGUGUGUUGGGCCCCGUCCUCCGAUCCCGGGGGACGGGCCCGAAAGGCAGCGGCGGCACCGCGUCCGGUCCUCGAGCGUAUGGGGCUUUGUCACCCGCUCUGUAGGCCCGGCCGGCGCUUGCCGAUCAACCCAAAUUUUUUAUCCAGGUUGACCUCGGAUCAGGUAGGGAUACCCGCUGAACUUAAGCAUAUCAAUAAGCGGAGGA